GACAGAGGCCUCAAGCGUUAGGCGGAAUCACUGGGCUUAAAGCGUGUGUAGGCGGGAUCGUUAAGUGUCUUGUGAAAUCCCACGGCUCACCCGUGGAACUGCUGGGCAUACUGGCGAUCUUGGGCCAACUAGGGGCAACUGGAACAAGCGGUGGAGCGGUGAAAUGUGUAGAUAUCGCUUGGAACGCCGAAGGUGAAAACAGGUUGCCUGGGGUUGUGCC
rnacentral:rRNA from 1 species